CCCUUACGAUGGCUGUGCCUUGUCAGUUGCUUGAAGCUGCGUUCAGGGAUUUCCUGAGCCUUAUGGAUUUACAGUGACAUUCAGCUGCCCGAGAAU
rnacentral:lncRNA from 1 species